ensembl:lncRNA
AUGGAGUUCAUCCAGAGUCUCGCUCAUACUCAUUAGCAAAACAAAGGGAGACAGAGCGGAAUUAUACAAUCAUCCAACACUCUGUAGUCUGAUCGUAGCUCGAAAACUAGAUUCUAUUGUAGCGCAUUUCAAAGUUUUAUUCCAUGUUUUUCACCAGACAGACAGUUCAUUAAUGCACAGGCAGGAGGAUUAUGUUUCUGAAGACCUCUUGGAGCUGUCACAGAUUCAGCGGCACUUAAAGGUGAUACCCGUGUUCUGCGGUUGUGCUGCCGUGCUGACGGAUAGGGAAGAGGAACAGAGAUGACCUGUCUGCAGAGAUGAUACAGCAGAACAGCAGAACUACUUUCAUACGAUCAAUACAGGUAAAUAGCAAAAAAAUGUAAAAUCAGUAUAAUAUUAGCUGUUUAUCUUAAGUUAACUAAGUUCUUUCGACAAGUUGCACAAAUGAUCCACACUGUUAAAAUACGAUGUUAGACUCGUUCUUAAUAUCAGACCUGUUUGUUCAAGCUUGUUAAAUUUAAAUGUCUUCUUUAGAUAUAAUACUCACCCUUUGUCAUUUUAUUUUAUUCACAUGGUCAUAAUGUAUUAUACAGAUGAAUAUGUCAAGAAGUCAUUGAGCCUCAAGUUAGAUAAAUUAGUAUUUUGUCUGUAUUCCAAGUCAUUUUAUUAUUAUUUAAAGGCUCAUCCAUAUGCUGCAUAAUUACAGCCUUUUUUUUUAAAUAAACUCACCACUGCAGUAAAUGCA